AAUGGGAGAAAUCCUGACGCAGCAACGCCGCGUGGGUGAGGAAGGCCUUCGGGUCGUAAAGCCCUUUUAGCAGGAACGAAACAAGACGGUACCUGCAGAAAAAGCACCGGCUAACUCCGUGCCAGCAGCCGCGGUAAUACGGAGGGUGCAAGCGUUAUUCGGAAUGACUGGGCGUAAAGGGCGCGUAGGCGGCCUGUUAAGUCCUAUGUGAAAGCCCCCGACUCAAUCGGGGAAGUGCAUAGGAUACUGGCAGGCUGGAGUGCAGGAGAGGUGAACGGAAUUCCCGGUGUAGAGGUGAAAUUCGUAGAUAUCGGGGGGAACAACAGGAGCGAAGGCGGUUCACUGGACUGCAACUGACGCUGAGGCGCGAAAGCGUGGGGAGCAAA
rnacentral:rRNA from 1 species